GGCUGGGUGGCUCAGCUGGUUGGAGCAUUGUCCCAUGUACCAAAGGUUGCGGGUUCUAUUCCCGGUCGGGCCA
rnacentral:tRNA from 1 species